GAUGAACGCUGGCGGCGUGCCUAAUACAUGCAAGUCGAGCGAACAGACGAGGAGCUUGCUCCUCUGACGUUAGCGGCGGACGGGUGAGUAACACGUGGAUAACCUACCUAUAAGACUGGGAUAACUUCGGGAAACCGGAGCUAAUACCGGAUAAUAUAUUGAACCGCAUGGUUCAAUAGUGAAAGACGGUUUUGCUGUCACUUAUAGAUGGAUCCGCGCCGCAUUAGCUAGUUGGUAAGGUAACGGCUUACCAAGGCAAUGAUGCGUAGCCGACCUGAGAGGGUGAUCGGCCACACUGGAACUGAGACACGGUCCAGACUCCUACGGGAGGCAGCAGUAGGGAAUCUUCCACAAUGGGCGAAAGCCUGACGGAGCAACGCCGCGUGAGUGAUGAAGGUCUUCGGAUCGUAAAGCUCUGUUAUUAGGGAAGAGCAAAUGUGUAAGUAACUAUGCACGUCUUGACGGUACCUAAUCAGAAAGCCACGGCUAACUACGUG
rnacentral:rRNA from 1 species